GAAUGGCUCAUUAAAUCAGUUAUCGUUUAUUUGAUAGUACCUUACUACUUGGAUAACCGUGGUAAUUCUAGAGCUAAUACAUGCUGAAAACCCCAACUUCGGGAGGGGUGUAUUUAUUAGAUAAAAAACCAACGCCCUUCGGGGCUUCUUGGUGAUUCAUGAUAACUUAACGGAUCGCAUGGCCUUGCGCCGGCGACGGUUCAUUCAAAUUUCUGCCCUAUCAACUUUCGAUGGUAAGGUAUUGGCUUACCAUGGUUUCAACGGGUAACGGGGAAUUAGGGUUCGAUUCCGGAGAGGGAGCCUGAGAAACGGCUACCACAUCCAAGGAAGGCAGCAGGCGCGCAAAUUACCCAAUCCCGACACGGGGAGGUAGUGACAAUAAAUACUGAUACAGGGCUCUUUUGGGUCUUGUAAUUGGAAUGAGUACAAUUUAAACCUCUUAACGAGGAACAAUUGGAGGGCAAGUCUGGUGCCAGCAGCCGCGGUAAUUCCAGCUCCAAUAGCGUAUAUUAAAGUUGUUGCAGUUAAAAAGCUCGUAGUUGAACCUUGGGUCUGGCUGGCAGGUCCGCCUCACCGCGUGUACUUGUCCGGCCGGGCCUUCCUUCUGGAGAACCUCAUGCCCUUCACUGGGCGUGUUGGGGACCAGGACUUUUACUUUGAAAAAAUUAGAGUGUUCAAAGCAGGCCUUUGCUCGAAUACGUUAGCAUGGAAUAAUAAAAUAGGACGUGCGGUCCUAUUUUGUUGGUUUCUAGGACCGCCGUAAUGAUUAAUAGGGACAGUCGGGGGCAUCAGUAUUCAAUUGUCAGAGGUGAAAUUCUUGGAUUUAUUGAAGACUAACUACUGCGAAAGCAUUUGCCAAGGAUGUUUUCAUUAAUCAGUGAACGAAAGUUAGGGGAUCGAAGACGAUCAGAUACCGUCGUAGUCUUAACCGUAAACUAUGCCGACUAGGGAUCGGGCGAUGUUCUUUUUCUGACUCGCUCGGCACCUUACGAGAAAUC
rnacentral:rRNA from 2 species